rnacentral:rRNA from 1 species
CAGUCGCCGCGGUAAUACGAAGGGUGCAAGCGUUACUCGGAAUUACUGGGCGUAAAGCGUGCGUAGGUGGUGGUUUAAGUCCGUUGUGAAAGCCCUGGGCUCAACCUGGGAAUGCAGUGGAUACUGGGUCACUAGAGUGUGGUAGAGGAUAGUGGAAUUUCCGGUGUAGCAGUGAAAUGCGUAGAGAUCGGAAGGAACAUCUGUGGCGAAGGCGACUAUCUGGGCCAACACUGACACUGAGGCACGAAAGCGUGGGGAGCAAACAGGAUUAGAGACCCCCGUAGUCCCUGUCUCUUAUACA